CAGCGAGCAACCGGACGUCGGUGCGCAAUCGUAUCAACGAGCGCUUUCUCGCUACCGUCAUCGAAACCGCCAGGAACGAGGAGAUCCCGGCUGAAAGCCAGACUGUGGCGCAGAAGGCGGCGCGUCUCUUCAAGACCUGCGACGACGUCUUGACCCAAGACACGGACUACGUGCCUCGCAUCCGCGGCCACCUGCGCGAGGUCAACCUGCACUGGCCUCAACACCCGGCCAAUCGCGACGCCGCCUCGGUGGACGUGGUGAGCACCAUGCUUGAGCUGAACGACAAUUGGGGCUGGCCGUGCUUCUUCGAGUUUGAAGCCGAGAAAGUCGGCGAUUAUUCGUUUGAGGUACGUGGAGGCCGUUACCAGCGAGAAAGAGUGAGACGGAACGACUUUGUUAUAAAACACGCCAUAUAGCCGCAGCGAAAGCUGGAGAAGCAGCAUUUCCACAGGCUAUUUGACAUGGGUGCCGCCAUCUUGGGCUGUGAAGUCAAUGAUUUCUUGUUUGGUGUAUUGCGGCGUGAAUAAAUGAGGCCAUGAAACGCCGUAUGCACCGACCAAGCUGCUUUCAUGUGUAUGCGUCUACUGCAACACUGUUCAAUUAUUUGUUAAGGACGCGAAACACAAAGGCGAACAGCAAAGCAUGGCAGCACUAAAACACCUCGGUAGAAUAGUCUAUAGAGCCCGUCGUAAAUACGGCUGUGGAGCUAUGGCUGUGCAUUUCGUAAUGAGCUGGGAGCAUUGGACGAUCCACUCAUUGAGCAUUUCGCAUUGUGUGAGGCCUGCUUGGUGUUUUACUCUUUUCCCACGAUAAAUUACACGUGUUUGUGUGAUUCCUUGCCCGAUAUGACACCUGUAUAGGAUAUUUUUGUGAAAGAUUUUCAAACACUGACGCAGCUCUACGGUAUAAUACUCGACUGCCACAAAUAAGGUUAUGGUGCAACUUCCGUGUGAUCUUAAAAGUUCUAUGGGAACAACUUAGGCAUCAAGACCAGUUGCUGUUGUGAUCCUGCAGCAGCUUUCUCUGUGAAAUAAACCAACCCAGACCUCGUCUUCAGAAAGAAGCAAGACCUAGUCAUCAGACAGGCUUUAGAAGUUCAAAUGUUCGAAUAGUGUCUUCAUGAUGUAUGGUGAAAAAAGUCCGUCAGCCAUGCACUCCUCCAGGGUCGCAGGUCUUAGAUUGGUAGGUAUGCGCCCUAUGUAACAGUAGAGCGCACCCACUUGUUUUGUCAGUGAGUCUUGCUGAAACAGAAUGUAAACACUGCGUGGGUUAAAAACACUGUUGCUAUGAAUGCGAGAAUAUUGACAUGAUGGAUACGUUGUCCUGCGUACUGUGUACCGCAACAAUCAAAUCGUCAGCCUCCGUGCAAUGUUACAUUGGCUACGAUGCUCGGCUUCUGACCCUAAAGUCAUGGGUUACAUCCCAACCGCGAAUUCGAUCGUAUUUCGAUGAAGAUGGAAUGCUAGAGACCCACAGAGUGUGUGCUGUCAGUGCACGCUCGAUAUCAGGUGGUUCAAAAGAAUAGAGCCCUCUAUACUGCGGCAUGCAUCGUAAUCGUAUCCUUGUCCCCGCUCGUUCAAACCAUGACGUUGUAAUUAUAAUUAGGAGCUGAUUAUCAAUUUAUUUAAUUGGGACAGUUUACAGUGGUACAACACCUCCAUCGUGCCAUUCCCAAUCGCGCGCGCGCAUUUACGUGUGUGUGAAUGUGCGCGUGCGUGUGAUUCAGUGUGUGUUUCAGAUGGCGCUCAAAGGAACCAAGGUUGCGCUAAGAGAAUUAAAUGUUUGGAGCUGUAGCACGCAAUAAAAAACUUUAGGCACAA